rnacentral:rRNA from 1 species
GCCAAUAACUAGCCCUAACAAUUAUUAAAAUAAUUAUUUUACCCAUCCAUUAAACCAUUUUUAUAACCUUAGUAUAGGUGAUAGAACAGUUAUUACCAGGAGCAAUAUAAACAGUACCGCAAGGGAAUAAUGAAAGACCAAUAAAUAGCAAUUAUAAGCAAAGACUAAACCUUGUACCUUUUGCAUAAUGAUUUAGCCAGUCAAUAAUGGACAAAAAGAACUUAACGUCCAACCCCCCGAAAUUAAGUGAGCUACUAUAGAACAGUUAUUUAUGAACUAACUCGUCUGUGUAGCAAAAUAGUGAGAAGAUUCUAUAGUAGAAGUGAAAAACCAACCGAACUUAAUGAUAGCUGGUUAUCCAAAAAAUGAAUUUUAGUUCAACUUUAAGUUUAACUAUAUUAUUACUAAUAAACCUAAUUUAAACUUAAAAGCUACUCAUAAGAGGGACAACUCUUAUGAUUUAGUAAACAUACUUAAACUGAGGGUAAUGAUUAACAUAACCUAUUUGUAGGCCUAAUAGCAGCCACCAAUUAAGAAAGCGUUAAAGCUCAAACCCCAAUUAUAAACCUAAUCUCACAAACUAAUCAAAACCCCAACACAUAUAUUGGAUGAUUCUAUUAUUAUAUAGAAGACAUAAUGCUAAAAUCAGUAAUAAGAAUUAUAUUCUCCAAGCAUAAGCCUAAUUUAGAAACGGAUAGCCCACUAAUAAUUAACAAAACAAUAAAAACAACCACUAACCAAGAGUAUUAUUAAAACUAUUGUUAAUCCAACACAGGCAUGCUUAUAUAAUUAAGGAAAGAUAAAAAGGAAUAAAAGGAACUCGGCAAACAUAAACUCCGCCUGUUUACCAAAAACAUCACCUCUAGCAUAAAAAGUAUUAGAGGCACUGCCUGCCCAGUGAGUUAACUUUAACGGCCGCGGUAUCCUGACCGUGCAAAGGUAGCAUAAUCACUUGUCUCCUAAAUAGAGACUUGUAUGAAUGGCAUAACGAGAGUUUAACUGUCUCUUAUUCCCAAUCAAUGAAAUUGACCUACCCGUGCAGAGGCGGGUAUACAAAUAUAAGACGAGAAGACCCUGUGGAGCUUAAGACAUUAACUUAAAUUAAUAUUCAAUUAACCCCAAAAGGAUCAACACAUAAACAUUUAAGUUAUAUCUUUGGUUGGGGUGACCUCGGAGCACAAAACAACCUCCGAAUAAUAUAACCAAGAUCACAACUAAUCUAAGUGCUUAAAAAGCCAACAAUUGACCCAUAUUUUGAUCAACGGAACAAGUUACCCCAGGGAUAACAGCGCAAUCCUAUUUAAGAGCCCAUAUCGACAAUUAGGGUUUACGACCUCGAUGUUGGAUCAGGACACCCCAAUGGUGUAACCGCUAUUAAAGGUUCGUUUGUUCAACGAUUAAAGUCCUACGUGAUCUGAGUUCAGACCGGAGAAAUCCAGGUCGGUUUCUAUCUAUACUAUAAUUUCUCCCAGUACGAAAGGACAAGAGAAAUAAGGCCAAUACUAAAUUAUUAAGCCUUUAAAAUAAUUAAUGAAAUAAAUCUUAAUUAAUAACCCUUAUAAUUUUAUUCUCUAGAAAAGAG